AUGCAUUGGAUGAGUCAGCACCCGGAGGUUGUGAAUGAAGAGAAUGAUCCGUUGGUAGAUUGGGACCAACACUUGAAUAAGAAGCAACGCCAAACUGCUAGUGAGCUUGCCAGGUACUUAGAAGAAGACACAUUCACUCGCACGGACGAUUUCAAUAUUCUUCAAUGGUGGCGUCUUCACUCGUCUAAGUAUCCCAUCCUUUCUUAUAUAGCUCGUGGUGUUCUUGUUGUACAAGCUUCCGUCGUAUCGUUAGAGUUGACUUUCAUUACCAGAAAGCGUUUGAUCAGCGAUUACAGAAGUAGAUUGUGCAGCGAGACGAUGGAAGCAUUAAUCUGCCUUCAAGAUUGGUUUAGAUUGGUUUAG
rnacentral:rRNA from 1 species